rnacentral:rRNA from 1 species
ACAGGACGAACGCUGGCGGCGUGCCUAACACAUGCAAGUCGAACGGACGAGGGGAGCUUGCUCCCCCAAGUUAGUGGCGGACGGGUGAGUAACACGUGAGCAACCUGCCCUUCGGAGGGGGGACAACAGCGGGAAACUGCUGCUAAUACCGCGUAAACGUAUCCUGGAGGCAUCUCCGGGAUACCAAAGAUUUUAUCGCCGAAGGAUGGGCUCGCGUCUGAUUAGAUAGUUGGUGGGGCAACCGGCCCCACCAAGUCUGCGAUCAGUAGCCGGACUGAGAGGUUGAACGGCCACAGUUGGACUGAGAUACCGGCCCAGACUCCGUACGGGAGGCAGCAGGUGGGGAAUAGUUGGGCAAGUGGGGGCAACCCUGACCCAGCAACGCCGCGUGGAGGAAGAAGGCUUUCGGGUUGUAAACUCCUUUGACGAGGGACGAUGAUGACGGUACCUCGAAAACAAGCCACGGCUAACUACGUGCCAGCCGCGGC